rnacentral:rRNA from 1 species
AAUGAACGCUGGCGGCGCGCCUAAUACAUGCAAGUCGAGCGAGAAGACGUAGCAAUACGUUUGUAAAGCGGCGAACGGGUGAGGAAUACAUGGGUAACCUACCCUCGAGUGGGGAAUAACUAGCCGAAAGGUUAGCUAAUACCGCGUACGCUUCUUGGACUUCGGUUCAGGGAGGAAAGCGAUACCGUGGGUAUCGCGCUCUUGGUUGGGCUCAUGUCCUAUCAGCUUGUUGGUGAGGAACGGCUCACCAAGGCUUCGACGGGUAGCUGGUCUGAGAGGACGAUCAGCCACACUGGCACUGCGACACGGGCCAGACUCCUACGGGAGGCAGCAGUAAGGAAUAUUGCGCAAUGGGCGAAAGCCUGACGCAGCGACGCCGCGUGGGGGAUGAAAGUCUUCGGAUUGUAAACCCCUUUCGGGAGGGAAGAUGGAACGAGCAAUCGUUCGGACGGUACCUCCAGAAGCAGCCACGGCUAACUUCGUGCC